rnacentral:rRNA from 1 species
CCUACGCGAGGCAGCAGUGAGGAAUAUUGGUCAAUGGACGAGAGUCUGAACCAGCCAAGUAGCGUGAAGGAUGACUGCCCUAUGGGUUGUAAACUUCUUUUAUAAAGGAAUAAAACGAGGCAAGUGUGCCUUUUUGCAUGUACUUUAUGAAUAAGGAUCGGAUAACUCCGUGCCAGCAGCCGAGGUAAUACGGAGGAUCCGAGCGUUAUCCGGAUUUAUUGGGUGUCAAGGGAGCGUAGAUGGGUUGUUCAGUCAGUUGUGAAAGUUUGCGGCUCAACCGUAAAAUUGCAUUUGCUACUGGCAGUCUUCAGUACAGUUGAGGUCGGCGGCUUUCGUGGUGUAGCGGUGUACUCCUUCGAUAUCACGUAGAACCCCGAUUGC